GAGCCUGUGUGAGAAGAUGUGCAAGUGAAUCACUGAAAAAGAGAAAGAGGCAGUGCUCUGACAGCAAGUUAACCUAAGUGAGAGAAGGGCUGCCAUGGGUUCUGCCUGACCAGUUAACAGUGUGCAAGGCUGCACUGGAGUUUGUGACACCUGAAAGGAGGAAAGUCGGGGAGAACAUAAAUCUCGAUGCCCUGUUUUCCUUUUGUCAGUUCAGCACUGCAGGCUGCCCUGGUUCCAGAUGUCUGUCUGGGUUCACAUAGUAGCAUAUUCCCAUGGCUAUGGUGGUAAUGUCAUAUGCGUCACAGGAAGGGACCCUCAAGCUCCAGACUGGUAUAGCUGAUCCCCAGGAGAGGCUGCAGCUAUUCUUGGCUCUAUCUGAGUGGGCAGCAGUUACUCCAACAAGCUCUGCCACCUACUUGUAGCUAAUAGCUAUAGAGAGCCAAGAUGAGCUAUAGCAAUCCUGCAUAGGAAUGAAAUUUGUCCUUAAAAUAAACUUCUAGCAUUAGUAGUGGGAAGAGAAAGAAGGUGCUUUCCUCCUUCAGAGAAGACUGGUUUCUUUGAUGCAGCAACUGGAAAAAAAUGAGAAAAUGAAAAGUAGGGUAUUUCCUAUCUGAGAAAUAUAUGGAAAAGGUUAAUUCUCUUCAGUCUUUCUUGGCUCCACUGUUGAAGAGGAUGUGCGUGGUAGGGGCAGAGGGAUUAGUUUCCACAUUAAUUUUGUUUUGGCUCCACAGAAGAGGUUCAGAGCCAGUGUGAAAAUGCAGUUUCUUCUGGAUACAAGGAGCUCAGAGCCUCUGAGUAUUUAUUUUGCAUCUGACAUGACAGCUUGGGAAUUGUGCCAGAGGGAGGGGGCUGAAGCAUCAGCUUGGAUUCAGUGCUGGAGGGCAAGGACCUGCCAGGAGAAGAAAAUACCACCUUCAGCACCAAAUCAGUACUACCUAGAGGCUACAAUGUAGGGAAGAAGGGUCUUCCUGAGUCUCUAUCUAAAAAAAACAGGAGCAGGCCCAAAUUAAAAAACUGUGGUUGGAACUGUCAGGCUACCAUUGGCCUAGAGUCAAGCAGUCAGCCUAUCUGUACCCAAAGCCAAAAUGUGCCAAUUCCAGAAUAAGCAGAAAGCACAUAAUGUGUUGGGCUAUUUAGGCAGUACUCAUCUUUGUAGAUAAUUUUAGGCUCAUUAAUUUUAGGCUCAUCAAUUUAUGCUAUGAUUCAUGCUUACUCAUGUCACGGUUAGCCUGGGGAAGGGCUUCUGUGAUUGCUGUCAGCUGCGUGUCCUCCCGCUCCCACUCACUCGUGACUCUUGGCCAAUUUUAGUCACAUCUGACAAAGAGCUGAAGGGCUUUAACACCCCAGGUUCCUACAGCAUGUCUCCCUGGGAUGUGACCCAAGGGCUGGCUGCAGCUUUUGGAGCUUUGGUCUACCAGCAGGUGCAAGGAAGCACAGGCUGUCAGGCCUGCCUGGCAGGCACAAAGCAGCAGCUAGCUGGGCAAUCUGCGUUCGUGCAGCCUUGGGCUCUUGCGUGCUCCCUCGCAGUAGGUGUUGUCUCACGUGCAGUUCAUGGCAAACUACAGUAGCUGAGGGAAGGAGGGAAGUUGAGGGGAAAUGUUAAUGUGGUGGCUACAGAAUCAGAAAGGAACAAUACAAUUCAAAACCCUGUAAAAACAGGUGUGUUGAAUUGUGCUGCUCACCUGUUUCCUAACUCCUCACUUCGUAUUGCUGUACUUCUCAAAAGUUUCUUGGACACCACUGUUUCCUCUGCCUCUUUCAGUAGCAAGUUCCACGUUUGUUAUACUAUAAUAUGCAAGUCUUGUGUCAUCUCUGAUCUGCUACCUUUCAAAGUACCCUCUUCAGUCAUGUGCAAAUGUGGAACUCAGUGAACAGCAAGAAUACCUACCUCCUUUCUGACAGACUGACUCGAGCUGCUGGACAGAAGUACAAAACAGACAUUCACAGUCAGGAGAUUUCUGCUCUGGAGAACUUACUCACUCUACUCCACAUUUCUACUAAAUACAAACAACUGGGGUUGCAGUAAAGCAGAGGACUACUUAAUAUCAGACAGUCAAUACAGGUGUGUGCCAUCUUUUCACCUUCUGUGACAUUCUUUACACAAGUCCUAGGUACAACAUGAGCUAAUAUCUUCACAAGCAGUGGUUUCACGCACAAGGCAACCCCAAUCUCCCAUCCGGUCUCUCUAGUGCCACUCAUAUGGACACAAACUGGCCUGGAUCUUUUUCAUACCUGGAGUAAAAAUGCCUAUUAUGGUUCAGCCACUGGGAUUGCAAAUCCUGACUGAGAGGAUCUGCAUGUUCUUAAGAAAUUCCAUCAAUUGGAUAUCAUGGAAACCCAGAUGAGGAACACUUUGCUACAAGGCAGAUCAUGCGGUGACUGAAGCACUACAGCCAUUUGCUGUCAAAGGACAAGCUUUCAGUUUCUUGAACUUUGUCUCUAAAAGUUUCCAGCAUUUGCUAGUGACAGUAGCAGGACCAUGUGUAGGAGUGUUGAUCAACAAGUAGCAGGCAACUAGGUCUGAAUGUAAUAGAGACAAGUAACUCUUAAUUUCUCCUUUGAAUGACUGCUCCCAGCACAUAGUUCUUCAGCUUGAAUUUGUAUAAAUGACAUACAAGUCUUUCCUCCAAAUACUGCUGGUACUUGCUGCAGCUUUACACGCUGGUUUGUGGGGAAGGGGAUGAUGACACACCAUAAACUUUUCAUAAAGUUUCUCUGACUAAAAGAUAAUGCAAUGAGGAACUCUCAUUUUCUUUGAUUUAGGACCAGACCUCUGAGAAGCAAGUCUGUCAAGAAUAGGACUAUGCCUUGCCUUGCUGGGUGGUGAAAACCUUUAGGGAUUAUCUAAUUUGUUAAUGCCUCUGAAUGUACUGGAAGCAUCUAACAACCUGGGUACAUGUGAUAGCUUGUUUAUAUAUGUUCACCUACACAGAUGAACCCUCUGCCCCAAACUAUUUACACAGAACAAAAAGAAAUGCCUGGAGCAUGACAACUGGAAAAGAGCCAAAGAGUAGCAGCAGUGCCACCUUCCACCUUCUAAGUGGAUCACUAGAGACAUUUUUCUAACUAAUCAAAGGGCCCACCUUUCUUGCCGGAGUUUGAAAUACUGAUGUCGUAAAUCAUUCUAGAAGUACUUUAAACAGUAACUAAUGAACAGUAUGCAAUAAUAGCUUAAAAUGAAUAUGCCACCUUUUCUUCCCUAAGAGAAAGAAAGUCUUAGAAAUGCAUUUAAUAAUGCAAUAUAAAAAGGAAU